rnacentral:lncRNA from 1 species
CCAGAGCCCACCUCCAGAGCGCCCCGGGGGAGGGAGGAUGGGGCGCAAAGGCAUCGGGGGUCUCCCUCCCUUCCAUCUCCCCACCUGCGCCCCACACCUCCCCAGCCACCCCCACCCAGUGAAGCUGGGGAACGGCCUUGAGCACCUGCUGUGUGCACGGGGCGGGGGCUGUGCUGGGCGCCAGGGUGGCCGCCGGGGCGGGCGCCCGGGCGCUCCAGCCGAGGCUUUCCCGCCGGCGGCCUGCGGGGGGCGCUGUCCCGCCCCGGCUGGAGCCGGCGCAGGCACCGAAACCCGAGUGCGGGAAGCCGGCGGCGCGCUGGGCGACUCGGCGGCCGGCAAGUUGCGAGGACGGCGCCCCUUUCCUGGGACCGCCCCGCCCCCACUGCCCCUCCUGGGCCUCGCGCUCAUCUGUGCUGGGACCUGCACCCCCAUCCGGUCCCGGUCCCGGUCUCUGUCUGCUCCUGCCUGUCUUUCUCUCACCGAAGCUUGACUAUUAAUUACUCCAGAAACCUUUCGGAACCCCACCCCCAUCCUGUACCACCCCCAGGCCCCCACAGACAUCCCUCCCCAAGCUGACCCGCCUACAGCUCUUGAGGGCCUGGCCGCAGGGUUCCCAGGGCCCAGGGCCGGCUGCCUGCAAGGAGCUGGGGGCAGGCCUGCACCUGUUCCCCUUAUUGUCCGUGUGCCUAGCACUCAAGAUGAAAAGUGUGGGGAAGGGAGGGGAUGGGCUCAGCUUCCCCCCCCUCCCCCAGGCGCUGAUCCCUGGCCUCUGAGAAGCCUGGUGAGAACUGCCCGCCCACCCCCGCACCUGCUGCCCCGCCCCCACCCAGGGCCAGGGCAGCCUGGCAGAUGGUGAGAAUCCCACAGCCGCGCUGGCCUCUCUCUUCUGUCCGGCUCGC